rnacentral:rRNA from 1 species
UACGAAGGGGGCUAGCGUUGCUCGGAAUCACUGGGCGUAAAGGGUGCGUAGGCGGGUCUUUAAGUCAGGGGUGAAAUCCUGGAGCUCAACUCCAGAACUGCCUUUGAUACUGAAGAUCUUGAGUUCGGGAGAGGUGAGUGGAACUGCGAGUGUAGAGGUGAAAAUUCGUAGAUAUUCGCAAGAACACCAGUGGCGAAGGCGGCUCACUGGCCCGGUACUGGACACUGAGGUGCGAAAGCGUGGGGAGCAAA